UACGUAGGUGGCAAGCGUUGUCCGGAUUUACUGGGCGUAAAGAGCGCGCAGGCGGUCGUUCAAGUCGCGUGUGAAAGCCCCCGGCUCAACUGGGGAGGGUCACGCGAUACUGAUCGACUCGAAGGCAGGAGAGGGAAGUGGAAUUCCCGGUGUAGUGGUGAAAUGCGUAGAUAUCGGGAGGAACACCUGUGGCGAAAGCGGCGCACUGGACCAUAACUGACGCUGAUGCGCGAAAGCUAAGGGAGCAAACAGG
rnacentral:rRNA from 1 species